UACGUAGGGUGCAAGCGUUAAUCGGAAUUACUGGGCGUAAAGCGUGCGCAGGUGGCCGCGCAUGUCGAGUGUGAAAUCCCCGGGCUUAACCUGGGAAUUGCAUUUCAAACUGGCGGACUAGAGUGCGGUAGAGGGAGGUAGAAUUUCCUGUGUAGCGGUGAAAUGCGUAGAUAUAGGAAGGAAUACCAGUGGCGAAGGCGGCCUCCUGGAUCGACACUGACGCUGAGGCGCGAAAGCGUGGGAGCAAACAGG
rnacentral:rRNA from 1 species